AUAUAUUGACACUUGCCUUUGGUAGCUAAUUAAGCCCUCCUCCCUCUUUGGCUCUUCUUGUUUUGUUCCUCGUAGCCGGCAUUUUAAUUUCUUGCCGUUUUCUGAGCUCCAGUGAGUGACGACUGACCGAUAAUAUAUAAGAUGAUGGUUUUGCCGGCUCCAGGAUCAAGCCAAGUACUUGAAGUGGUGGUGCCCAAAAGAGGAAGCAAAAAUAAGAAACUGAUUCCACCGAUUAGAGGGCAAAUCAAGCGGCAUAUUUUUGCUUGUUUCAUGAAAAAGAUGAAACUUUGGACACAGAAUCUCUCCUGCAAUACCAAUGAUCCCUCUUAGCUGCCAGCUUCUUUAUCUUGCUCCGUCUGUGUCUCUCUCUCCUCCAGUAUACUGAAUCAUGUAAGAAAUAUUGAAUCUGCAAUACUCUUAUGUUUGCUAGUGUUAAGGUCUCGUUAGCUUUCCUUUUAUCCAUCC
rnacentral:lncRNA from 1 species